GUGUUCUUCAAAGCUGGGCUAAUAGGUCUUCUGGAGGAGAUGAGAGAUGAAAAGCUGGCAGAGAUUAUGACCAUGAUACAAGCCAGGUGCAGGGGCUUCCUCAUGAGAGUGGAAUAUCGGAGAAUGGUGGAGAGGAGGGAGUCCAUCUUCUGCAUCCAGUACAAUGUCCGGUCCUUCAUGAACGUUAAGCACUGGCCCUGGAUGAAGCUGUUCUUCAAGAUCAAGCCCUUGCUGAAGAGCGCAGAAUCAGAGAAGGAAAUGGCCAAUAUGAAGGAAGAGUUUGAGAAAACCAAGGAAGAGCUUGCAAAGUCUGAAGCAAAGAGGAAGGAGCUGGAGGAGAAAAUGGUGGCUUUGCUGCAGGAAAAAAAUGACCUGCAGCUCCAAGUGCAGGCUGAAGCAGAUAGCUUGGCCGAUGCAGAGGAAAGAUGUGACCAGCUGAUCAAAACCAAAAUCCAGCUGGAAGCCAAAAUUAAGGAGGUGACUGAAAGAGCAGAGGAUGAGGAGGAAAUCAAUGCUGAGCUGACAGCCAAGAAGAGGAAACUAGAGGAUGAAUGCUCAGAGCUGAAGAAAGAUAUUGAUGACCUUGAGCUAACGCUGGCCAAAGUUGAGAAGGAAAAGCAUGCCACUGAGAACAAGGUGAAAAACCUCACUGAGGAGAUGGCAGCCCUGGAUGAAACCAUCGCCAAGCUCACAAAAGAGAAGAAAGCCCUCCAAGAGGCCCACCAACAGACACUGGAUGACCUGCAGGCAGAAGAGGACAAAGUCAAUACGCUGACCAAGGCUAAAACCAAGCUGGAGCAGCAAGUGGAUGAUCUUGAAGGGUCCCUGGAGCAAGAGAAGAAACUGCGCAUGGACCUUGAGAGAGCCAAGAGGAAACUCGAGGGUGAUCUGAAGCUGUCCCAUGACAGCAUAAUGGACUUGGAAAAUGAUAAGCAGCAGCUGGAUGAGAAACUGAAGAAGAAAGACUUUGAAAUCAGCCAGAUCCAGAGCAAGAUCGAGGAUGAACAAGCCCUGGGCAUGCAAUUACAGAAGAAGAUCAAGGAGUUGCAGGCCCGAAUUGAGGAACUGGAGGAGGAAAUUGAGGCCGAGCGGACCUCUCGCGCCAAAGCAGAGAAGCAUCGGGCUGACCUCUCCAGGGAGCUGGAGGAGAUCAGCGAGCGCCUGGAGGAAGCAGGGGGAGCUACGGCAGCUCAGAUCGACAUGAACAAGAAGCGUGAGGCGGAAUUUCAGAAGAUGCGGCGCGACCUCGAAGAGGCCACUCUGCAGCAUGAAGCCACCGCUGCCGCCCUGCGCAAGAAGCACGCGGACAGCACAGCCGAGCUCGGGGAGCAAAUAGACAACCUGCAGCGUGUCAAGCAGAAGCUGGAGAAGGAGAAGAGUGAGCUCAAGAUGGAGAUUGAUGACUUGGCCAGUAACAUGGAGUCUGUCUCCAAAGCCAAGGCAAAUCUAGAGAAGAUGUGCCGCACUCUGGAAGACCAACUGAGUGAGAUUAAGACAAAGGAAGAGCAGGAUCAGCGCACGAUUAAUGACCUCAAUACCCACAGGGCUCGUCUGCAGACAGAAACAGGGGAAUAUUCACGCCAGGUGGAGGAAAAGGAUGCCUUGAUUUCUCAGCUGUCUAGAGGCAAGCAGGGCUUUACCCAACAGAUUGAGGAACUGAAGAGACAUCUAGAUGAAGAAGUAAAGACAAAGCAGAGGCUGCAGAGUGAAGUGGAGGACCUGAUGAUUGAUGUGGAAAGGUCAAAUGCAGCUUGUGCAGCUUUGGACAAGAAGCAGAAGAAUUUCGACAAGAUCCUGUCAGAGUGGAAGCAGAAGUAUGAGGAAACGCAGGCUGAGCUGGAAGCCUCCCAGAAGGAGGCUCGCUCUCUCAGCACGGAGCUGUUCAAGAUGAAGAAUGCCUAUGAGGAGUCCUUGGACCACCUGGAAACCCUGAAGCGCGAAAACAAGAACUUGCAGCAGGAGAUUUCUGACCUCACAGAGCAGAUUGCAGAGAGUGGAAAGGCCAUUCAUGAGCUGGAGAAAGCGAAGAAGCAGGCUGAACAGGAGAAAUCUGGAAUCCAGGCUGCUCUGGAGGAGGCAGAGGCCUCCCUAGAACAUGAGGAGGGGAAGAUCCUGCGCCUGCAACUGGAGCUCAACCAGAUCAAAUCUGAGAUUGAUCGAAAGAUAGCAGAAAAGGAUGAGGAAAUUGACCAGCUGAAGAGAAACCAUCUCCGAGUUGUGGAGUCCAUGCAGAGCAGCCUGGAUGCUGAGAUCAGGAGCAGGAAUGAGGCUGAAGAAGAAGAUGGAGGGAGACCUCAAUGAAAUGGAGAUUCAGCUGAGCCAUGCCAACCGCCAGGCAGCAGAUGCACAGAAGAAUCUAAGAAAUGCACAGGGAGUGCUCAAGGAUACCCAAAUACACUUGGAUGAUGCUCUCAGGACACAGGAGGACCUGAAGGAGCAGGUGGCCAUGGUGGAGCGCAGAGCAAACCUGUUGCAGGCUGAAAUAGAAGAGCUCCGGGCAGCCCUGGAGCAGACGGAGCGGUCAAGGAAAGUGGCUGAGCAGGAACUGAUGGAUGCAACGGAACGCGUGCAGCUUCUCCAUACCCAGAACACCAGCUUGAUCAACACCAAGAAGAAGCUGGAAACAGACAUCAUGCACAUUCAGGGAGAAAUGGAAGAUACAAUCCAGGAAGCUCGCAAUGCUGAAGAGAAGGCCAAGAAGGCCAUCACAGAUGCGGCCAUGAUGGCAGAAGAGCUGAAGAAGGAGCAGGACACAAGCGCCCACCUGGAGAGGAUGAAGAAGAACUUGGACCAGACAGUGAAGGACCUGCAGCACCGUUUGGAUGAAGCUGAGCAGCUGGCAUUGAAAGGAGGGAAGAAGCAAAUCCAGAAACUGGAGGCCAGGGUGCGUGAGCUGGAAGGGGAGGUUGAUUCUGAGCAGAAGCGCAGCGCUGAAGCCGUCAAGGGUGUGCGCAAAUACGAGAGGAGGGUGAAGGAGCUGACCUACCAGUCUGAGGAAGACCGGAAGAAUGUUCUAAGGCUCCAGGGCCUGGUGGACAAGCUGCAAAUGAAAGUGAAGGCCUACAAGAGACAAUCUGAGGAGGCUGAGGAGCUGUCCAACGUCAACCUCUCCAAAUUCCGCAAGAUCCAGCACGAGCUGGAGGAAGCCGAGGAGCGGGCUGACAUUGCAGAGUCGCAGGUCAACAAGCUCCGAGCCAAGAGCCGCGAGUUUCACAGCAAGAAGAUAGAAGAGGAAGAGUGAGGAUGUCAAGAUGCAGCA